rnacentral:rRNA from 1 species
ACUGCUUAGAGGUUAAGCCCGAUGAACCUGAAUAUCCAUUAUGGAAAAUUCAACAUUAAUAUUAUAAUAUUUAUUUAUAAAUAUUAUAAAAAUAGUGUGCAAUUUUUCCAUAUAAGGACAUUGUAAUCUGUUAAUGUAAUAAAUAUUUAUCAUAAGAUUCAAUAAAUAAAAGUUUAUUCAAAUUAGUUAUUUUCCGAUUUCUAACAUAGAAUAAAUUUAAUUGAAUUUGAUAAAUCAUUGACAGAUUUAUUUAUAUAUAGUGCUUAAAUUUUUAAUAGAAUUUUACAAUAAUUUAUAAAUGUAUUUUCAUUUAUUUAUUUGUUGUAUGCACUUAUAUGAUUAACAAUGCUAUAGAUUCAGGAUACCUUCGGGACCCGUCUUGAAACACGGACCAAA